AAUCCAUAGGUUAAUGAGGCGAACCGGGGGAACUGAAACAUCUAAGUACCCCGAGGAAAAGAAAUCAACCGAGAUUCCCCCAGUAGCGGCGAGCGAACGGGGAGGAGCCCAGAGCCUGAAUCAGCAUGUGUGUUAGUGGAAGCGUCUGGAAAGGCGCGCGAUACAGGGUGACAGCCCCGUACACAAAAGCGCAUGUGCUGUGAGCUCGAUGAGUAGGGCGGGACACGUGGUAUCCUGUCUGAAUAUGGGGGGACCAUCCUCCAAGGCUAAAUACUCCUGACUGACCGAUAGUGAACCAGUACCGUGAGGGAAAGGCGAAAAGAACCCCGGCGAGGGGAGUGAAAAAGAACCUGAAACCGUGUACGUACAAGCAGUGGGAGCCCCACCACCAAAGCAUUUGCUGUACCGCGUUGACGGAGCGAAGCGACGUCAAACCGAUAAAACAGCAGUGUAAAGUGAGCCGCAGG
rnacentral:rRNA from 2 species